AAUGCUCCCGUUUUUCGCCGUUAAAUGUUGCAGCCUAAUUUUGGAUCGAGAAUUAAGUGCGACGAAGAUGGCCGUUUUAAUAGUUCUACUACUUUAAGAACACGAUUCAGAUUUGGAUAACGACUUCGAAGGCAUUCGCAGGAGACCAAACAGAGAAAGAGAGGGAGACACAAAACCACCUGUCUCGGUGUCACACAUGAGGAGUUGAGGAGGAGAUGAAGUCAGUGAAUAUGACCUGGCCUGGGGGAGUUUCCAGAAGAAGGCCCAGAAUCGCUGGAUGCCAGGAGUGGAGAUCCUUCAUUGCUGCCCUACAUGAUAGGAGGCAUCGGGCAGUAGAUGCUGUAAUUUGAAACGGAAGGUGUCCUGCCAAUAAAUUUUCAUCCCACCUGAACUGCCUUGCCUGCCUGCACCCAGUCAUCUGUUCCUGAGCAUUUUCAUUUUCCUCUAUUUUUCAUCAUCGUUUGUUUCGGCCUGUAUGAAGUGAAUUUCACAUUGAUUGGUGGAGCUGCUAAGUUGGCAUUACAGGGCCACGCCGGGGUAUGAUCCUUUGGGUUGAACAUCAUGACUGCUAGUUGGUCGGCAAAGGUGAUGGGAUCGAUCAAUGUCACAUGGAGUAAGAUCGAUACCAAUCUGCUUUGCUACAUUUCGAACAAUCUCAUACGGAUACGGAUAUUAUUGCGACAGGAGUACUGCUCGAUGUGGUCAAGUCUAUUUGACAAAGCAUUAUGGUGUUAGUCAUGUUAUCAGAAACCGAUUUUUCAAAAUCACGGAGUUGCUUCAAUUUAGUAUCGAUAGAUAUUUCAAGAACGUGUAGAUUAGUGAGCUUUUCAUCAAGAAUUUCACGCAAUUUAUUUUCGCGCUUAUCCAUGUCAUCAUUGAGUUUUUGUCUCUCGCGUUCCAUUGCCACGGCCACCGCUCUUUGAACGACUGUAUCAAUAUGAUCUAGGUAUGCUGGGCUUUGUUUAGAUCCAGUUAAUGAUGAAGCAGAGGAUUGUGUACAUGCGUUAGCCGAGUGCAAGCGGCCUCUUGAUCUGGUGGAUAUCUUAGACAUGUUAGAGAUUACGUAAUGAUAUAAUUGAAAAGUGGGAUGGGCUGUGCAUCUGCCAACUCACCAGUCAACCAAUUAGAGAUGGCCUUCCAAAGUGACACAGCACGAAAAUAUCAAUAUGGGACUGGUCUAGUCAACACAUAGAUCCUGAAAAAACCAUGGAGACCGCAGACGCAAAAUGACUUCCAUACAUAAAGAUAUGAUGCACAAUCUCCAGUGGGUUCAAAACACUGAACACAUGCUAUGCUGAUACACAGACUAUCAUAAGAACUUUAUCAAGCAAAGGAAAUCUGGUAUGAAAUCUCUCAGCUCACAUAAAAAGCCUACGUAGCUACAUGUAGGGAAGAAAAUGCGUAAUUGCUGAGAAAUGAGCAAAAUAAGCAUGUAAUUCUAUCAAAUGUCAGGUAUUUUUCGAAUCGAUUAUAAUACACUGUCCCACAUAUGCUUUUCUGUGUUUACAGCGAUCAUCAGAAUUAUCGAUUUUAAGUUAAAAAAUUCAUGAUUUUACAAAGAUACAAGUUUACAUUAAUGUACCAGAUGUAGAUUAUGUACAAUAUAUUGACAAUUAACUUUGAUUUUAUAGAUUUUCUCAAGAAAUAAUUGUUUGCUGCAACUACUGUCUUUUCCUUCUAAGUGAUAGUGUAAUACAACAGUUCCACAAACUAUUUUCAUCAGACUUAUUGAUGCAUGAUUCUUUCACCCAAAUGCAAGCUUCCAUAAAUCCUGAAAACUUUGCAACUCAGGUAUUUUUUUUUUUACAUACAGUAUAUUUUUUCCUACAUUACAUAGUUGCCUUAAGUUAAUAGCGCACCUCUAGUAGUAACUAUCUUAAAAUGAGUUCGAACAGAAUCCAACAGAAUUACCAGCAAAGUGUAUGUAUAUAUAAAAGAUGUGUGCCAAAAAGCUGGGGAAGAAAAUGUGUAAUUGCUGAGAAAUGAGCAAAAUAAGCAUGUAAUUCUAUCAAAUGUUGGGUAUUUUUCAAAUCAAUCAUAUUACACUGUCCUGUCCCACAUAUGCUUUUCUGUGUUAGUGAUCAUCAGAAUUAUUGAUUUUAAGAUAAAAAUUCAUGAUUUUACAAAGAUACAAGUUUACAUUAAUUUACCAGGGCCCUGUCUUACAAAGAGUUAUGAUUGAUCCGAUCAAUCGCAACUAUGGACGGUCAGCAACGUUAACAUCUAUUAAGCAUGUUUGUUCAAAAUAUUUUCUAGCUAUGAUGUAUGUUCAUGCAUUCAUUGUUUUCUCAAAAAUUCGCUGCGUUUCUCUUUGCAUACAAAGGACAUUGUGCAAAUUUUUCGUAGAAAAAAAUUAUGACACUGAUGGAUUUCCAUAGAGUUAUGAUUGAUCGGAUCAAUCGUAACUCUUUGUAAGACAGGGCCCAGGGGUCCGUUGCAGAAAGAGUUGCGCUUAAACGCAAGUCAAAAAAUCAAUCGCAAGUCCCAAAUGCGCGCUGUUGAUUGGUUGAAAAUCAAGUUGCGCAUGAUUUUUAGAGUUGCGAUUGAUUGCAACUCUUUCUGCAACGGGUCCCAGAUCUAGAUUAUGUACAAUAUUUUGACAAUUAACCUUAAUUUAAAAGACUUUCCGAAGAAAUAAUUGUUUGCUGCAACUACUGUCUUUUACCCCUGGCCCUAAGUGAUAGUGUAAUACAACCCAAACAUUUCAUAAGAAUUAAUGUACAUGUAUGAUUCUUUCACCCAAAUGCGAGCUUCCAUAAAUCCUGAAACUAUUCCAACUCGGGUAUUUUUUUUUUACAUACAGUAUAUUUUUACCUACAUUACAUAGUUGUCUAAAGUUGAAGGUAUAUUUAAUUACAAUUUCAACGAAAAAGCUUUAUUCUUGGAAAUCAUUAUGCCUCUGUUAUGUAUUAACGUGUAUUUAUACAUGUACAAUUGUAUGUAUUGGUAUAACAAACAUUGUAAUUUCAUUCCUUUGACCCUAAUACUGCAUUUUCAUAGAAAAGUGUUUUUUUUUUCAAUCUAUUUAGAGUUUUCAACAUUUUGUAUUCCUUUUUUUUUUUGCUGGUAAUAUGUUAUGCAACUUUUAUUUAUUAAUAGAAUAUUUGCCACGAUUUCGUAAUUGAAAUGCGUACAUGUAUUUGAUUUCGUUUUCCAUUUUUGUAUAUAUUCUUUUUCGGGGGGGGGGGGGUCAUGUUCUUGAGACCGAGACAAGUUAUGCAAGGCCCUGGCAUGGAGGAUCAUUAUAUUGUUACUGGGAAUGCUGGACAUUGUCAGACCACCUCAGUAUUCACCAAAUAUAGAUAAUCCUCAAUGACAAGGUCUUUGAAGUGAUGUGUGUAUGUACAUUGCAUGUAGAAUUUAAUGUUUAGGUCAUUAUCACGUCAGAAUACGUUAAGAUAUCAUAGUUGACUCCAAAAGACGUCAUAUUCAUUUCAAUAUGCGACGUCAAUAUGACGUCUAUUACUAGUCAGCAAUAUGUUGCAAAGUCGUCAUUCAGACGUCGUAGUUGACUUAUAAAGACGUCAUAAUUACAUCAAUAUGACGUCUGAAACUGGUCAGGAAUAUGUCGCAAAGUUGUCAUUAAGACGUCGUAGAUGACUUUUAAAGACGUCAUAAUUACAUCAAUAUGACGUCUAAAACCGGUCAGGAACACGUUGCACGGAUGUCAUUAAGACGUCGUUGUUGACUCUCGAAGACGUCAUAAUCACGUCAAUACACGACGUCAAUCUGACCCUUGAUACUGGUCAGGAAAACGUUGUAAAAACGUUGCCAAGACGUCAUUAAGACGUCGUAGUCACUCUUGGAGACGUCAUAAUGACGUCAAUAUACGACGUCAUAAUGACGUUAUUCGCGGGUGCAAGAUCCCGUCAAUAAGACGUCAUGUUACGACGUCAAAAUGACGUGACACUCGUCGUUAAACUGACGUAAUUAUGACGUCAUUUUUACCAGUUUCUGCUAUCAGGGAGUGUGUUCACAUUAAUGGACUAUCUGUGAAAAAUGUGGUUCACACUGUUCAAAUGCUCAAAUUUAAUUUUGAAACAAGAAUGAUUUCACGCUAUGUUCCAUCACGCUAUGUUCCAUCCACACUGUGAACUUAUUGUGACAGUGUGUUGGCUAUUCCUGCAGGGAAUAUUUAGCCAGAAAAAAGGUUAUGUCCAAAGCCCAACUUGGUAAAUUAACAAAAGUAGGCCUAUAUUCCUACAUACUCAUUGCACAAUUUCUUUUAUCUAGAGCAUCAUUAGGACCAUUGAAAUAUAGGUCUCCAUGACUGUAUUGAUUAACAUUUCCCUGAAUUCAAGGAGAUGGGUGACCUCACAAAGCCGAGCUCUUCUGCUAAAUACACAUUAUACACAUUCAAACAAAGCUAGGAACAUGUGACGUGCGCCCUAUAUACCACCCUUUCCAUGUAUAUCACUCUCCUUCCCUUUUAUAGUGUAGAAUUAGAUGAAGGAUAAGAUGUCAAAACAGGGAAUUGUUAAUUCCCUGCUCCAAUCAUCCAUGGUCAACACUUCCAGAUACAAUACUUUCAAAUACGCAAUUGUCAUGCUUCAGAGUAGCUUCAAGAGAGUUGUAGAAAGUCUUUUUCAGAACAAUCAUGUUGAUUACAGUUGAACGAGCAGAGGAAAGACACUGAGAUCAAUCGGAAAUCAAUGAAAGAUGUUAGCUAAUGAGCUCGUCUUCAAUGUGGCAGUAAAAUGCUGUCACAAUCAA